AGAGCUUCAUCCAGGGCCAGUGUUUGACCGCAUUGAAGGCCCGGAUGUUCCACUGGAUAAUCUGGAUAGCAUCCCUGAUAACAGGAACAAAUAAAAGAUGGCGUCUCACAGCCCUAAAUAUGGAUCCAGAGCAGAUUGGUCAAGGACUUCCUGUCAGUGUUUGGAGGGUGAAGUAGAGAGGGUGCACACACCGGGGAGGGAGGUGACUGCACUUUUGACAUGACUCCAUGAAGGGUGCCUCUCAAAGCUCCAUCCUCAUGAUUUUACCACGAGCGACUGCCUGCAACAUUGUCAGGACUUUGGCCAAACGCUCAUCCCUCA